rnacentral:rRNA from 1 species
GGGCCCGCACAAGCGGUGGAGUAUGUGGUUUAAUUCGAAGCAACGCGCAGAACCUUACCAGCCCUUGACAUGGGGAGUUUGGUCGCCGGAGACGGCGUCCUUCAGUUCGGCUGGCUCCCGCACAGGUGCUGCAUGGCUGUCGUCAGCUCGUGUCGUGAGAUGUUGGGUUAAGUCCCGCAACGAGCGCAACCCUCAUCCUCAGUUGCCAUCGGGUUUGGCCGGGCACUCUGAGGAAACUGCCUGUGAUAAGCAGGAGGAAGGCGGGGAUGACGUCAAGUCCUCAUGGCCCUUACGGGCUGGGCUACACACGUGCUACAAUGGCGGUGACAGUGGGAAGCUAAGGGGCGACCUGGAGCAAAUCCCCAAAAGCCGUCUCAGUUCGGAUUGCACUCUGCAACUCGAGUGCAUGAAGGUGGAAUCGCUAGUAAUCGCGGAUC